rnacentral:siRNA from 1 species
GACGUGUCGGCUGCUUUG